UUUUUUCUUUUUCUUUUCUUUUUUUGGCUGAGCCUGCCCACCACGUGGAAGUUCUCGGACAAGGGAUCAAACCCAUGCCACAGCCAUAACCAGGGCCACAGCAGUGACACCACCAUAUCCUUAACCUGCUGAGCCAUCAGGGAACUCCAGGAUGUCUUUGCUUUUUAAACACCAGCACUGAGAAAAAUACAUAGCAUGUACCACCAAGCAGAGACCAGGCAUUUGAUGAAUGCUUCCUGAACCAACUAGAAUUCAAGUGUUUCUUAGUACCUAUAUAAAUAGAACCUCAAUCAAUCCUCUUGUUGAGAUGAAGUAUGGAACUCAAGUCCCAUAAAGAUCUUCCACAUAGUUAAAUAAAAAAGAGUACACAGCCAAGUGUCAGAUAAGAAGAGCCCAGAGAAAGGCCCAUGGCAGUUUAGGAGAUGGAUUAAUCAACAUGAGUAGGUGAAGCCAGCAACGUGUAUGUGAAUGAAGGCACUGGAAAAGCAGGGAGGAUUUAGAGAGGGCCUUUUCAGUUCUAAAACAUACCCAGCUCCUUCCUGACCUAGGGUCUGCUCACCUACUGAGCCCAAGGUCUAGAAGGCAUUCCCAACAUCUCUCUUCUCUCGGUUGGCUUCUUUUCACUGCAGGCCACAUUAUCUAACAUGGGAUUCACCUGCCACUCUUAGCAACCUUGUUUUCUUCAUAGCUUUUAUCAGUGUUUAUAAUGAUCCUUUAUUUCUUGAUUGUCUCUCUCUCUCUCUCAUUAGAGUCUAAGAUCCUUGACGUCAAGGACUGUAUUUUUUGGGGGGGUGGGCAUGUGACCAUGGCAUGUGGAAGUUCUCAAGCCAGAGACUGAACCCAUACCACAAUAGCAACCAAAGCCACAGCAGUGACAACACUGGAUCCUUAACCCACUGAGCCACCAGGGAACUCUACAAGGACUGCAUGCUUUAUUCACUCUGGUACCUGCAUAUAGUGGUACACAAGUUACCUUGCUGGAUGAAUAAUAGGCUGGAUGUUGGAUGAACCUUACAAGACAUGAGACAGUGGAAUUCCCCUUGUGGCUCAUUGGUAAUGAAUCCAACUGGUAUCCAUAAGGAUGUGGGUUUAACCCCUGGCCUUGCUCAGUGGGUUAAGGAUCUGGCAUUGCCAUGAGCCGUGGUGUAGGUCGCAGACACAGCUUGGAUCCUGCAUUGCUGUGGCUAUGGUGUAGCCUGGCAGCUAUAGCUCUGAUUAGACCCUUAGCCUGGGAACUUCCAUAUGCUGUGGAUGCAGCCCUAAAAAGAGAGAGAAAAAAAAGAAAAAAGUAAAGAAAAAAAAAGAAAAAAAUUCACGAGACAGUGUGAAGAUCCAAGAGCAACUGCUAGAAAUGGCACUGCAGUGGAGCAAUGGCCCAGGUAGUCAGUGGGAUGCUGCCAAGUCAUGACACUGAUCACAAUGUUGUCAGGUGAUCCUGGACAGGGUGGCAUAAUUUGGGCAACCACCAGCAAUGUACUAGGUGUGGGCUGCACAGAGGUAGAGGCCAUUCAGUAAUUUUCCAUCUUGGGAAGGCCAACAAGGGUUCAUGGUAAAAAAAUGGAGGCUAAGGAGCAAGUGUGGUCAAGGCUACAGGAGGAGGAAGAGGCUACAGGAAUGUCUGUGGUUUAGAAUGUACCCUUUGAAUGAGAAUAACAAAAGCUCCCAGAAGGCAAGAAGGGUUAUCCAGGUUUAACUUCUCUGGUGUUGGCACAAACCCAAGGAAGGCAGAAAAGGGCACUCUAAUCAAUGUUUCUGAGUGCUAAAGAUAAAAUGGAAAAUGAAAACUGGUGAUUUUUGCUCUAGGAUUUAGUCCUAGAAAAGGACAGGCAUGUUUGGAAGCAUGAAGAAGUCAGUGAGCUUCCGGGCUACUGAAUGGAAAGGACCCCACUGAAAUAUCUGAUAAUUUCCACCACAUUUUCUACAUGGUUACCAAGGACAGAAUUGGAGUAUAUGCUGAUUACCUUGAAAAAUAUCUAUUUUCCCACCUGAGUUCAAUUUAAAAAUGCUGACCAAAGGGCAAUGUUUCAUACAGAUUUGACUCGAACAAGCCCAGUGGGAAAAGCCCUGGAAAGCAUAUGGCAAAGAAACUUGGAGUCCAGAGUAUGAUUUAGAAACCGAAAAGGGGGUAUGUGUCAUAUGAGUACACCUAUAUAAAUAAUUACAGUGGUUGAACUCUGCCUAUUUUUCAUCCAUCCCAAGCAACAGAUCUGAAAAAGAAAGAUAACAAUGACCUGUGUGCUUGAGAAUCCAGAGGGACUGUCAGUGACAGAGCUCACUGGGUUCCCAGGAGGACUAAGAACAUGGUCCAACCAAUCUUGCCCUGACAACGUAGGAGUGGGCAGAGGAAGGCAUGAAGAAUGGCUGCCCUUCUACAUCUGAAGGUCAGAACAAGAGAUCCAGGAAUGUGUCUCUGUCAUUUGAAAGCUACAGCCUUUGAACCCCCCAAAGGUAAGGGUGGGGCAAUUCUGGUCCCUGACUUGUAACUUCCUUUUCUCCUCUGUACCUCCUUAGAUCCAGGCUAAAAGGGACGACAGGUAUUAGCUUGUGCAAUCCCUGCAUUUGCAAAGGGAGGAAACUAACUUCCAGAGGACAACGCCAUCUGCCCAGAAUCACCUGGGUAGAUGGCUUCAGGGCCAGGAUGGGACCUUCUCACCCAGCUCUUCUUUCCCAAUCCUCUGCAACCCAGUUGGGGACUGACUGCAAAACUGACUCUGAUUCUACAUUUUGGUUUUCACUCUCCAUUCAUUUGAGAAUAUUCAAAUCUAUUGAACACUGUUCACUAUAUAUUGUUUUCACCUCUCACUACUUGUGCAAUAACCUUGAGGUUAUUAGAGCUACUGGACCAUUGCAUUAGUGCUUUUGUUUCAGGCUAAGGUGGGGAAUUCCACAUUUGCCAGGUAGUCUGGUGAAAAUAGGUAGGGUUUUU
rnacentral:lncRNA from 1 species